ACAUGCAGCCAGGGGGAGCGAAGGGGAGGCACUAAGGUGUGGGAGUGAAACUACAGCUUGCCCCUCCACCCUCUGCAUCCCUCACCCCCUUACCUUCUGCUCUGGUCUCUCUAGUCCUGACCCAGCGUGGCUGGUGGGAGCUGCUGCCCCUUCUACCUGGCUAGCCUGGGCUGAAGCGCUGCUGACUGCCCCAAGAGUAGAGCUGCAGCAGAAGGUAAUACAGCAAUAAGCACUACACAGAACUCGGAGCCAGAUGAAGAUAAAAAAAAGAGUGAAGCUGCUAACAAAGUAGUUUUUGAAGUUAAAGUUGCAAGGGACAACUUCAAUCAACCGGUGGAAUACGCCUGGCCCCGCACCGCACGUGAACAGCAAUAUUAGGUGGAAAGUUUGCUUAUAAAAAAUGCCAGCACUUAUGGUAGAUGAGGUGACAUCAGGGUAAAAAACAAUUCCAUCUGUAUGAAAUAGCACAUACAAUAACCCAGGAAACAGGAAACAUCUACAAACAAAAGCUUUCAGACAAAGUUACUUUGGAUAAAGAAGUAUUGAAAAAAAGCGGAGGUCUUUUUGAGCAUCGGCUUUACAUACUUUCCUCAGAUCACUUUAUAAAUCUGCUGUGCAUUAGAAAUCAGACACAUAUGUAUUUCUUUUUAAGUAAAAAAACACAAAAAACCCCCCCAAAAGUUGACAGUUUACAUUUUUAAUAGCAAUGUGACUAUUUCUGAAUGGCAGCAGUAUAUAUUACAUGAAGUGUGAGAGGGUUAAAUAGGACAGCCUCAACUCUUUAUAAACUUUUGCCCUCUGGAUAUGUACUCAUUGGCUGCUGUACAAGACUCGAGCUGUAUUACACGCCUUAACGAUAUGGUUCAACUGUCGGUCAGGCUCGGGGCCUGGCAAUGGGCCAGACCGCAAUCAAUGGGACACAAACCUCCCCCUUUCAGAUCAUCACGAAGGCUCAUAUUAUCUCCUUUUUGUCGUGCUGGUUAAAUUUAUGGAGCAGAACCCCGAAGCUGCAUUCCUUGGCCUGGGCCGGCCCACGCGGGCCUCCCUUUGUUUGGUACUGUAAGCGAGGCGUGCUUUGGAGGAUUGCAGGGUUGUUAGUUCAGGCACUGACUGUUUGCUCAUGACUGAAAUGAAAAGGGUUCAGUGGAAGGGCAAAAGGACAGCACAAGUGUAAAACCCUAUCCCAGCAGGCCUCGGGCUCCCAUAUACAGCCUCUGGACCAGUACUGAACAUAAAAAAACCCAAACUUGCCGUUAAUGACAAAAGGAAAAUCCUCUGUCCGGUAACUGAUGAAGGGGCUAACCAGUAAUUUAGCGUCAUGCCUUGCCAAACUGCCAUUUACCUUUAACCAAAUCUGCAUUACUGAACACAGAUGGAUCCGAACGAAUGCAGCAUGGCGUGCUAAUUAGGAGGAAUAUUCUUUAAAACAUGGCUCUGCUUUUUACAACCAAACAGAAAAUCUCUGCAGUGCAAACGCUGUCACCUGGCCAACAGCAUAUUUUAAUGGGUCUGAAAAUGACCAAUUUAAACUUGUGGAGGAUCUCCAGGAACAAUGAUGUGGUGAUCUUUAUUCUUCACUUUGCAGAAAAUAGUACUUGUAACACAAUAGUACUUGAUGUGCCUGUCGAAGGAGGAGAUGCUUGGGAAGCUGUUUCAAAAGGCAGGACCGUAGGCUCUCUUCAUCUGAGCCUCCCCCGUUCAUCCCAACUCCACAAGGAGGACAAAAGUCUCAUUAGGAUUCAUUUUUGAAAUUAAGCUCGAAAGUUUAUUUCAAUGGACUCCAGGCUAGCACUGCAUUUUACUUCAAGGAAGAUGCAUCUAAAAAGCCCCUGCCAGUUCUUAUAUAUGCUGAAAACAAACAGCUGAAAGAACCAGACAAUUCCCAACAGCCCCAAAAUCCUUUGUUGUUACUUAUGUUACACUAGAGGCCAAAAGUUGCAAGAGAGAUUUGGGUCCAAAUGUGCUAGGUGUUGAAUAAACCUAUAUAGUUUCCCAUCCUAUCCCAUCCCAUAAGCUUCCAUGUCUUCUUUAAGCUCCAAGGCACCUUUUUCCCCAUUCUCCUCCCUAUAAAUACUCCACCUUCCUCCUGAGGCUUUUCACCUUAUGUCCCCUUUCAAUGCAUUCACUUGUUCAGGCUCCCCUGCACUCCUUCACUUCCUUCCGUGCCCUCUCAUUUCCAUUUCACCUGCCAUGCGUUUUCCCAUCUUGUCUUCUUCAAAAGUUCCUCGCUCCAAGACCACGGAGCACUGCUCCGGGAUUACAUAAAAAGGGGGAAAAGUCUUCCGCUCCUCCAAACGCGUUGUCAUUCUACAUAUUGCUCCCCCUUGCUCCAUGUUACACCACAUUUCUGCUUUAUUACAUUUCAAGCAAAGCUCUUGCUUCCACAUGUGCUUCGUGUCAAAUAGUGAUCCUGUUGUAUUAGGAAAGUUGAUAUCGAGGUGGGCAAAAUACAGCCCGCAGCUCCAGCCACCGCAUGGUGCCAGGUGGGCAGGGCUGUUUCUACCCUGCUAGGUGAGUGGGUGAGACUGCUUCCACCCAGCUGUGGACCCAGGUGGAUGCCCCGAUUGCCACCUGGAACCUGCCGGCUGAGUCCACGGUUGAUGCCGGCGCCUGCCUGGGGCUUCUUCCACCAUGCUGUGGACGGGGCUGGCAGGGUCUGGGUUGGGAUCGGGGUAUGGGCUGGUUCCAGGGAGGGGAAGGGAGAGGGAGCAGGAGGAAACCAAAACUCAUUGCGUGUCCCUCCGGCCACAAUAAAAUCGCCCAUCCCCGGUUUAUACCCAUUGAUAGCACUGGCAUUUUAAGCAUCACAGCAACUCAGCCCUCCUUCUGCCAGCAAAGAAAACAAACCCAGGAAGAGAAACCGAGGAGAGAGACAUUUGGAAUUCCUAGGCCGAGGGAUCUUGGAGAGAUGUUCAACUGAAGAAAUGCCAGCUUUUUUUUUUCUCAUGUUUUUGCAACCCUCAUCAGAAAAAAAGGUCUGCUUGAGGAUGACACAUGGCACUGGGAAGUUCCCCUAUUAUUUAUUCAGUAUGAUUUUUCUGACUAACGGGACAGAUAAAAAAACCCCACCUUUUAAAAUAUUUCAAAUUUAAUGCUGAAAACAAAAAACAAAGCCCAACACUUUGUGGCCAAGUAUGCUACAAAUAAAAUCAGAUUAUUAAAAUACAUGCCACUAAAUUCUAUAGAUAGCGGAUCCCGUUUUUAAACUUUCAACACGCACUACACAGGAAGGCUAAAAUGUCAGCACGGCGUUUCAAUAUAUUUGGUGUGGUGGGGGACAGGAGUACAUGGUUUUGUACAAGUGCUAACAAACGUCUUCUCGUCACAGGGCGGGGAGGGGGGGGAAAAAAAAAAGAAAAAAGGAAAAGCAUGCUUGGAUACUCUCAGAUGCUCUCGCAAGUAAAAGCUUUCUUGUUGCUGGACCAAAAGAAACUUUCUGAUAAAAGACCAUCAAGUGAAGGGUAUCGAGAAUCUUUUAUGAUGCUGAGGAGCAAAGCAACUCAGACUGGAAAUGAAUGGAAAGAAGAAGAGUGAAAGAUGUCGUUCCAAAUGCACAGACCGAAGGACGCAUGUAGAAAACCAACCAGAAAGCCUAAAACAAAUAGAAAUACUACCAUCUCUUUCCAUGACUAACAUGGAAACGUGUUGCUGUUUAUGCUUGUUUGUCUGCGUCUCUCCCUCUCUGUUUCCCACAAAUGGGCACCCUCUUACUGAUUUCUCAACAUGGUCUAUAAUUAAUUUCUAGAUCUGCUACACAUAAUUUAAAAUUACCUGCAUAUUGUCUUUAACCUUUUCUUGUCUUUGAUCAUUAUAAGAGAGGACUAGCAGAGUUAACUUCCAAGAAAGUUACCCUAGACCUACUGCACCAGACUCAAACCCUUUGGCACAGAAACAAUAUAUUUCUGGACACUAGGUAAUAAAACCACUGCAUUGGCAAGUGGUGGAUAGCUUUUGUGCUAUUUUUAUUUUUAAAUAAAAUGUAUUUUUAUUGCAUUUACAUCAGUUUAAUCUUUUUACCUAUUUUAAUAAAAUGAAAACACUAAAAGCAUGGCCAAAAGUUAUAACCCUCCCCCCACCCCCCAAAACAAAAACCAACCCAUUGAAUAGGCAUUAAAUGCUUUCAGUUCCAAGGAUUGAGUCUGCCUGCUUUAAUGCAGUCUGAUGGGUUUUCUUGGUACAUUGCUAUAGAGAGGUCUGUUUUGAAUAAAGCUUUUGUUCAUUUUGGGACUGUAUACGCUAAGCCUAAUUUUAAAUAAUAAGUAGAUUUGUGAAUGGAAAUUGUGAAUACUUUAGUAUGUGAUCCCUGUCAGCUUUGCGUUUACUUUGUCGGCGGCGUGUCUCCAAUCCAACCUUUCUAUACGGUUUGAGUUUACUCUGCUGAUGCUAAUGUAUGAGUUUAUAUAGCUUUUCCAUUCCAACCCUUUAGAGCAGUGGUUCUCAACCUUUUUUGUACCAGGACUCAUCUGUAAACACCGAUGGCCAGUCCCGACCCAGUAAUUAGUUUAAGUAGAAAAGUCCCCAAGGCCUGCCAGUGCCUCUCAUUCCCAAGCCACAGGCCCCCAUCCCUCACUCCUGACCACUGCCCCCUGCUCCCCAGUAUGUGUGGGGCAGAGGUGGAUGUAUGUUUAGGGGGACUUGGGCAUGGGGGGGGACGACACACACGUGCACCCACAGGGGGCAUGGGGGCUGCAGUCUGGCUGGGCCAGCACAGGCAGGAGUAGCCUCCAUGGCUCAGUGGAUGGGACUCGGUGCGGGAAGGGAAAGGGGACAGCGAGAUUCAUGGCUGCUGCCAUUUCCCAAAACCCCUACGCCAGCCAUGCCGCCAGCAGCACAGGAGGGGGCUGCGCUUCCAUCACCUUCUCCUGCUGCCAGCUGCUCACGUGCCAGGCCACGGCUCUAUCCCACCACCAUGGUCCCCUACCCUGCCCCACAGAGGAGCGGGGCACUGCAGGAGCUGAUCUCCACGCUGCCCGGUUGCCACGUGCAUCUGUGUGCGUACACAUGCAUGCGGCACCCUCUGCCUGAUCGCCCUCCUCCUGCUCCUCCCGGCCCCAAGCAGCCCCUUGCAGGCUGGAACGCUUCCAAUCUGCAAGGGGAAACCUACUAUUUCCCACAUUUUUCUCUUUUAAAGGAGAAUCCAUUUUUAAAGGUUGUUCACAACCCUUUCAUAUAUUCUUGCCACCCACUUUUGGGUCGUGACCCAUAGGUUGAGAAAUGCUACUUUAGAGGAAUCCUCCCUCAUUAUUUUGUCCCUUGUAGAUCGAGAAAUACAUACAAAAAGAUAGAUAGUUACAGCAUUCCUAUAACUUUUUAAAACCAUAAAUUAAUCAAAAUAUACUGUCAACUUUAGCUCCAUCUCAAUGUUUUUUUCUAGAUUAUGGACACAGAAAGGGAUGAAUACCACCCCAUUUUCAUAACUCACCUCACAAGAGGCAUGCCUAAAUAGAAUCAAUGUUUUCUACUUAUGGCUCCAUAUUUGUUAUAUGUCCCUAGACAUUUUCUACAUACCUAUGACUUUUCAAAGGCUUUCACACGGACUUUGGCCAUUUAACUGCGGAAAUACACGGUUUCUAACUCUACAGCGAAUGCCUUGUUUCUAACAUUGUAACGCUGCAGCUUGUUUUGCAUUAUACUAAAAUGUCUCUGAAAAAUC